UACGUAGGGGGCUAGCGUUGUCCGGAAUCAUUGGGCGUAAAGAGCGUGUAGGCGGCCCGGUAAGUCCGCUGUGAAAGUCGGGGGCUCAACCCUCGAAUGCCGGUGGAUACUGUCGGGCUAGAGUGCGGAAGAGGCGAGUGGAAUUCCUGGUGUAGCGGUGAAAUGCGCAGAUAUCUGGAGGAAUACCGGUGGCGAAGGCGGCAUCCUGGACCGACAUUGACGCUGAACGGCGAAAGCUAGGGGAGCAAACGGG
rnacentral:rRNA from 1 species